UUCAGUACGCAGGGUCCGUUCGCGCGACACGGAGAGGAGGAGCCGUCCCACAAGCCGGCCAGCCUGCUCGGUCACGUGAAUUGAAUUACCAUGUUGGACUUUGACCAAGAGACUGGGCUUACAUCCAUGUGCCAUGGGAUCUUUACUUACCACAAGCUAUCAGGACUCUGGUUUUACAUCUCUUCCAAAAAAUGGCCCCUCCAGCAGUACGGUGGUCCUUAAUACCACACUACUGUGGGAUUGAUUCAAUGUUGUCUCGGGAAAAAUAGCACCAACUCACUAAAAUCACUACCUAUAGUACCUAGGUGUCUAAGAGAAUUAUAAGCAAGUAUAAAAUUUACCUAUACAGGGUCCAGCCUGGAACAGAAUAUCAUCUAUAGCAAUGUCACUUCUUAUUGACACUCCACGAACUGCUUCAACAAUAAUCUGUAAAAACAACCCAUAUGGUUUUCAUAAAUAUCACAUCUAGAAAAAAGUACACCUUUUUAAAAAUGCACAACCCUGAUGCAGGCUAUUUUAAGAUAUAACGCAACCCCAAUGCUAUUCUAAGAAAAAAAUAUAUACUCAGUGAUUAGCAUAUUUUAAUAGACUUCAUUCUAAUUAGUCCGAGAACUGAGAUGCAUGGGACACCCAGAAAAGGCCAAUCAAAUCUCAGAAUUUGGUAUGGAACUGUUUUGUCCUAAGGAUGACUGACAAAUAAUCAGUUAGUUUUCAUGAUGUAAUGUUUGUCUUGUUUUUUCAUUGCCUGAGUGUCGUCCUUAUCACCCAGGUAAGUUGUGAGGGCAUAAUUUUGUGAUAAACCAGCAAGUUCUUCCUCUUACUCCUGCAGUUGAAUUUAGCUCUUAAUAAAAAGCAAUUUUUUUCUAA